UUAAAAUCCCAAGUAGCAACCGAAGCUUUUUUCUCCCAGUUUCAACCCCCUCAUGUCCACAAACUGCCUUCGCUCACUAUUCCUAUCCCGUUUCUACAUUCCACAACGUUUGUUGCUUUCUCGCUCAUGUUUGUUGCGGGUGUUAGUCAAUUCUCUCUUGCCACACGAAGCGAAAUCUCCUGCACACUUCGUAUGUUUGAUUCUACCCAUCCCUGUUGAACACAAGUCAUUUUCUUCCAUCGCACUCAUCUGGGUGUUUGCUCUUUUCCAUACAAGACUUCAGCGACUUCAGUGUGCUCUGAACCGUGAACGUGAGAGUGUGUGUUUGUGUGCUGCGUGAACUAUAUUUCCUGCGUAAAACACUUUUCCGUACUGGAUCAUCCGCGGUGUUCUUUCUGCUUUAUCGGAGGACGAAUUGUUAUCAUCUAAUUGUUUUGUUUCAGAUGUGUGCUGCUACCGCUAGCUGUUCCCAAAACUUCUUCAAAUUGCGACACUGUGUGCACAGGCACAUGUUCAAUUGAUCCUCAAGCACAAAGCUUUCAUACAACACCGCGGUUGAGGCGCGCCAAAUUUGAUGACAUCUUCCCCGAACCAGGCAGGCUGAACACGCGCACCACCAAACGGGCUCCAGCGCGGUGUAAAGAGAGAGAGGAAGAAGAGAAGACAGAAUUGCCCGCUUGGCAAAAUGUCGCGCGACAUGCAUGCUUGAAAUCGAUGCUUGUUAACAUUUUAUUUCAAGCAUCCUGAGUGACCCAGCGUGAGCGCUGAGCACACCUCCCCUCAUUCUCAAUGCCGCAUUUUUGGUUAAACCUCGCUCCCACCCUUUCUUUCCUUCUCCUCAACGGACCUACCAUUCCCGCGAGCGUAUGCCGAUCAAAAAAUUCCAGGAAAUUCUGACAGUAAG